rnacentral:ncRNA from 1 species
GGUUAAGUGACUAAGCGUAUAUGGUGGAUGCCUUGGCAGUUAGAGGCGAUGAAGGACGUGUUAAUCUGCGAUAAGCUGUGUUAAGUCGAUAAAAGACGUUACAGACACAGAUUUCCGAAUGGGGAAACCCAAUGUCAUAAGACAUUAUCAUUAACUGAAUACAUAGGUUAAUGAGGCGAACCGGGAGAACUGAAACAUCUAAGUACCCCGAGGAAAAGAAAUCAACCGAGAUUUCGUUAGUAGCGGCGAGCGAACGCGAAUUAGCCCUUAAGCGUAUGGGCGUCAGUGGAACAAGCUGGAAAGCUUGGCGAUACAGGGUGAUAGCCCCGUACACGAAGACAAACAUAUUGUGAAAACGAGUAGGUCGGCACACGUGAAAUGUUGACUGAAUAUGGGGGGACCAUCCUCCAAGGCUAAAUACUCCUAACUGACCGAUAGUGAACCAGUACCGUGAGGGAAAGGCGAAAAGAACCCCUGUGAGGGGAGUGAAAUAGAACCUGAAACCGUAUACGUACAAGCAGUGGAAGCCUUCGGGUGACUGCGUACCUUUUGUAUAAUGGGUCAGCGACUUAUUUUUAGUAGCAAGGUUAACCGAUUAGGGGAGCCGUAGCGAAAGCGAGUGUUAACUGCGCGUACAGUUGCUAGGAAUAGACCCGAAACCCGGCGAUCUACCCAUGGGCAGGUUGAAGGUUGAGUAACAUCAACUGGAGGACCGAACACACGUAUGUUGAAAAAUGCGGUGAUGACUUGUGGGUCGGAGUGAAAGGCUAAUCAAGCCGGGAGAUAGCUGGUUCUCCCCGAAAUCUAUUUAGGUAGAGCCUCGCACGAACACCAUUGGGGGUAGAGCACUGUUAAGGCUAGGGGGUCAUCCCGACUUACCAACCCUUUGCAAACUCCGAAUACCAAUGAGUGAUAUGCGGGAGACACACUAUGGGUGCUAACGUCCAUAGUGAAGAGGGAAACAACCCAGACCGCCAGCUAAGGUCCCAAAGUACUAGUUAAGUGGGAAACGAUGUGGAAAGGCAUAGACAGCUAGGAGGUUGGCUUAGAAGCAGCCAUCCUUUAAAGAAAGCGUAAUAGCUCACUAGUCGAGUCGGUCUGCGCGGAAGAUGUAACGGGGCUAAACUAGUCACCGAAGCUGCGGAUUUAAAUCUUUGAUUUAAGUGGUAGGGGAGCGUUCUGUAAGCCGUUGAAGGUGUGUUGUAAGGCAUGCUGGAGGUAUCAGAAGUGCGAAUGCUGACAUGAGUAACGAUAAUGGGAGUGAAAAACUCCCACGCCGAAAGACCAAGGUUUCCUGUCCCAUGUUAAUCAGGGCAGGGUAAGUCGGCCCCUAAGGCGAGGCCGAAAGGCGUAGUCGAUGGGAAACAGAUUAAUAUUUCUGUACUUCUAUAUAUUGCGAAGGAGGGACGGAGCAGGCUAAACAGGCAUGGCGUUGGUAGUCCAUGUGAAAGUGAGUAGG